rnacentral:tRNA from 1 species
GGGUAGGUAGCUCAGUGGGAGAGCACAUGACUGAAGCUCAUGGCGUCGGGGGUUCGAUUCCCUCCCUACCCAC